AUAGAAUUUAUGGGUAUCCAUUCAAUUUAACCCAUUUUGAAUGGGUCGGUUAUCCAACCAUUUAAAAGUGGGUCAAAUAUGAAGCAACCCAUAUUAUACAUCAUAAAAUAUGGAUAACUCAUGUGUAUCCACCAAUUGCACUCCCCUUGAGUAUGUAUGGGUGUAGGAACCUCUAAAAGUACACUCAAUAAGGGUGUGUUUGGUAUGAAGAAAAAUAUUUACCAAUUUUAUCAUGUUUGGACUUUGGUUGGCUUAAAUAUUUUAGAAAAAUAUUUUUCAAAUGGACUUAUAUUCCUCUAAUUUAAGAAAAAUGUUUUUCACUCGUAUAAAGUAAGGAAAUAUUUUUCAAAACUUUCCUUAAAUUAGGAAAAUAUUUUUCAACUUUUCUUGAACCUCACCACCCGAAAUGGGUCCAGACCUAGGAUCUGACUCUCGACCUAACUCAACACCCAAAUUUUGACCUCCCAACCUCGACUUAGGAUCACUCUUUUUUCAGAAAUAUAUUUUCUAGGAAAACAUGAAAAUAUAUUCCAACC
rnacentral:lncRNA from 1 species